rnacentral:lncRNA from 1 species
UGACAUGAGAGAACCCCAAAGAUGGUAAGAGCUGAUCAGGCCAGUCACUGUAGAAGUGGAACACAGAGUUUGGCAGCGUAGCAGACGGUUUGUUCAUGAAAUCCGCCAAGAGAACUGUGCUGGUGAGUGCACACUUCUCAGCUAUGAGGUUUAGUACUUGCAUUGCCUCUGUGUGAGAUAGGUAAUAGAGAAUGCCUUCGAGAACCCAUACCGUGUUUACCUCUGGCAUGAAACCCGAUUUCUUAAGUUUUUCAAACCAAUGAUUGUCUCUGAUAUCGAUUGCUACUCUGACUAGUGACUUCGCCGUCAUCUUAAGCUCCUCUCUGGCUUUUACUGCAGCUUGAACUAGGCUCGUUUUCGUUUCUAAGACAUCAGGAAAAUCCACUUCGAAUACGUCAGUUUUGUUCAAGCAGCUUAGUCUGUAUGAUCUCGCAUCCAUCCCUGAGUUUUAAUCACACCAUUCUAUGUUAUUGGCUACUUAUCUUCAAUUCUUGCUUCACAUAUAUCAAUGUUAUCUCACAACAACAUAUUUAAAAUGUCUAAACCAGGGAAGCCAUACCUGCACCGAGUAGAACGACCUGCGCUGCAUCAUUGUCGAAAGAAUCCAGAGCAGCCUGAAUCCUUGUGUCAAACCAGAGAGUUCGAACUGCUAGAAUCACACCGGACACCUCUCGAGCAUUGUUG